rnacentral:tmRNA from 1 species
GGGGUCGUUACGGAUUCGACAGGCAUUAUGAGGCUCGUUUUGCAACCCAUCGGCAGAUGUAAAAUGCCAGUUAAAUAUAACUGCAAAAAAUACAAAUUCUUACGCAGUAGCUGCCUAAACACCAGCCUGUGUGACUAAUCGCAGAUUGCUUGCGUUUGCGCAUUGGUCUUCAUUUAGCAAGAUACGUUAAAGCCUUGUCAGGGGGCUUUGAAAGAGAUUUUCUGACUCGCUCUUGUUCGGCUUGAGUUAUGUGUCGCUCUAGGGUUAAAAAUAAAACAUAACCUAUGGUUGUAGACGAAUGAGUUAGCAGGUGUUUGGACGUGGGUUCGACUCCCACCGGCUCCAUCU